rnacentral:lncRNA from 1 species
AGGUUGAUGGUUACCAGAUUAGGAGCAUUAAUUGCGGAGGAGACAUCAUUACUGCAGAGAAUUUCGGAGCAUUAAUAGUUUUAUACUCCGAAACUGGGGGGCCUGUGUUGACACCAUUUUUGGGCACGUGUCCAGGAUGGCAGGACAGGGUGGCAGUACGAUGCGGGUUGCUGGUAAGGAUGGUUGCCGAUGAGGGAAAGGUUGAAUGUGACUAAGUCCUCAGACAGUAAUAUGGUGCCGAUGACCAAGUAAAAGGGUCUGCCGAUGACUAUAGCAAGGGGAUUGCCGAUGACGCGAACGAGGAGUCCGGAAGCUGCCAGUUGUCAUGUGGAGGAGUUUCGGUUUGUCACGAAGGAUGGUUUUAUUAUUUCCUUAUGUUAUUCGUAUCGUUUUGUAUACGGGUUCCGUGUAAUUUGGAAUUCGAAUUCUAAUCGUGUCUGGUCGUAGCUCUUUGAGCAGGGUAUAAAUAUAAGCCCUAAGACCUUGUAAUCAGGAGAUCUAUCAAGAAAUCAAUCAAACAUACGUUUUUACUCAUAUUCCAGCAUCUACUUUUCGACGACUUCGUCAUACUUUUUUUCUUUUUAUUACGAGUUCUUAGGAAUUCGUCGACUUAAGCUCGGCAUGUUCUCGAGUUCCGCGUGAGUACCUCUUAGCCGUGACAUCCGGGCGCAUCGCUGUUGUCAGGACUAAAGUAUUCGAAUUAUCACCUUUGCCGAUAGCAAGGUCAAAUCGGCUGGCACGCCUUAACGUUUGAAUCAGGUAUUAGCCCUUUGUGUUUGCAGAUCGAUUUUGCAUCAACACGACCACUACCACCGCGCUGACGACCUGGGUCGUUGAUGCGACGUAGAGGAGUAGCGGCUCUGCGGGAUGAGGUGGGACCAGGACGGGUGCCGAGGUCAGGGUCUUCUUCAGCCUUUCAAGCGCUCCCUCGGCCUCGGGGGUCCAAGAAAAGUGCUCGAAUUUCUUCAGGAGUCGAUACAAUGGUAACGCCUUUUCUCCUAGUCUCGAGAUGAAACGGCUCAGAGCCGCCAGGCACCCCGUGACUCUCUGCACACCCUUGAUGUCUCGGAUCGGCCCCAUUCUCGUGAUGGCCGAGACUUUCUCGGGAUUGGCCUCGAUACCGCGCUGCGAAACGAUGUAGCCUAGGAGCAUGCCUCGAGGCACACCAAAAACGCACUUCUCGGGAUUGAGCUUGAUCUGGUUGGCGCGUAGACAGCUAAAAGCAAUCUCGAGGUCCUGGAUUAGGUCCCCUCGACGCCUUGUCUUGACGACGAUGUCAUCGACAUAGGCUUCGACCGUCGACCCUAUAUGUUCACCAAAUACAUGGAGCAUGCAACGUUGGUACGUGGCUCCCGCGUUUCGAAGCCCAAACGGCAUGGUCACAUAGCAAUACAUCCCAAAAGGCGUGAUGAAAGAGGUCGCGAGCUGAUCGGACUCCUUCAUUUUUAUUUGGUGGUAACCAGAAUAUGCAUCAAGGAAAGAAAGGGUUUCACAUCCCGCGGUAGAAUCGACAAUCUGAUCAAUCCGUGGCAAUGGAAAAGGAACCUUUGGACAUGCUUUAUUUAGACUAGUAUAAUCGACACACAUCCUCAUUUUCCCAUUCUUUUUCUUAACUAAUACAGGGUUUGCUAACCAGUCGGGAUGAUGAACCUCCUUGAUGAAUCCGGCCGUCAAAAGCUUGUGGACUUCCUCGCCAAUGAUCUUGCGCUUCUCCUCGUCGAAUCGGCGCAACUGCUGCUUCACUGGCUUGGAACCGGCUCGAAUCUCCAAGGAGUGCUCGGCGACUUCCCUCCGUAUGCCUGGCAUGUCCGAGGGACUCCAUGCAAACAUGUCGGCAUUUGCACGGAGAAAGUCGACGAGCACAGCUUCCUAUUUGGGGUCGAGGUCGGUGCUGAUCGUCAGCACUUUGCCGUCGGAGUUGUUGGGGUCGAGCGGGAUCUUUUUGGUUCCUUCUGCCGCCUCGAAGCUGCCCGCGUGGCGCUUAGGCUGUGGAGCCUCAGCGGCCAGGGCCUCGAGCUUCGCGACUAGCUCGGUGGAGCUCUCGACCGCCUCCCCGUACUCGACGCACUCAACGUCGCACUCGUACGCGUGCUCGAAGGAGGAACUGACAGUGAUGACGCCUUUGGGUCCGGGCAUCUUCAGCUUCAAGUAAGUGUAGUUGGGUAUAGCCAUGAACUUGGCGUAGCCCGGGCGUCCGAUGAUGGCGUGGUACGUGCCUCGGAACCCAACCACCUCAAAGGUGAGGGUCUCCUUCCUGAAGUUGGCCGCCGUGCCGAAGCAGACCGGUAAGUCAAUUCGACCUACCGACAGUGCCUUUUUCCCUGGCACGACGCCAUGGAAACCGCCGGCGCUUGGUUGGAGUUUUCCUCUAUCUAUGCCGAGGAGGUCGAGGGUCUCGAGGUAGAUGAUGUUGAGACUGCUGCCACCAUCCAUCAGCACUUUCGAGAGUCGGGUGUUAACGAUGAUGGGGUCGACGACGAGCGGGUAGCCGCCGGGGGCGACUACCUUGUCGGGGUGGUCCUCUCGGUCAAAAGUGAUAGGAGUUCUUGACCAGCUAAGGUACUGGGGCACCGCCAUUCUUGCCGCAAAGACCUCACGACGCUCCCUUUUGCGCUGCCUCGUGGUUAAUUGAGUCGAGGGUCCGCCAUAGAUCAUGUAGCAGUCGUGGACGGCGGGGAAGCCAUCGUCAUCUUUGUUGUCCUCCUUGCUGCCACCCUUCUCUUUCUUGGAGUCGUCACGCACAUCUUUUUUGAACCCCAGACCGUCGAAAUGCUUUCUCAGCAUACGACAGUCUUUGAGCUUGUGGUUGGCGCCUCCCUUAUGGUAAGGGCACGGCUCCUCCAACAUCUUGUCGAAGAUGCCUCCAUCCGGAGGGCCUCGAGGUUUCUUUCGAUCCAUGGCGGCGACAAGGUUGUCAUCGGAAUCCUCCCGGUGGAACUGUCGUACUUUCUGCUUCUUUUUAUUUUUCUUGAGGCCUCGACUGGGGGUCCCGUCUUCAUCGAUGGGCUGCUUACCUUUUCUUAUUUCAGAGCUGAAGAAGGCGCCGACUGCCUCCUCCCCUGCCGCGUAGUUGGCUACUACGUCCAUCAGCUCGUCGACGGUCUGAGGUCGAUUGCGACCUAAUUCCCGCACCAAGUCUCAACUGGUGGUGCCCAAGACGAACGCCAAGAUGACGUCGUGGUCAGGGAUGUGCGGCAGCUCAGUGCGCUGCUUCGAGAAGCAUCGAGCAUACUCCCGAAGAGUUUCUCCUGACUUCUGCUUGCAUUUGCUGAGGUCCCACGAGUUCCCUGGCCGUAUGUAGGUCCCUUUGAAGUUGUAGACUCUGACCAGAUCAACCCAGUUGUGGAUCUGAUCUGCGGGGAGUUCCUCGAGCCAUCGACGGGCGGUGUCAGAGAGGAAAAGCGGGAGUUGCCUGAUGAUAGCUCGAUCGUCUCCUCGAGCUCCCCCCAACUGACAGGCUAGCCUAAAAUCGGCUAACCACAAUUCUGGUUUGGUUUCGCCGUUGUACUUUGCGAUGCUGGUCGGGGGUCGGAAUGGAUUGGGCAGGGCCAUGCUGCGGAUCGCCCUGCUGAACACCCGUGGGCCCGGUGGCUCAGGGGCCACCCGGUACUCGUCGCUGUCGUAUCUCCCGCCGCGAUGCGCGCUGUAACCGCGCGCUUCCGCGUCUCCGUGCCGGCGGCGUCGAUUUUCUUCGAUGUCGUGCCGCGCGUCGUGUCGACGCUGAUUGUCGACGGGGAGGAUGAGAGCGGUCCUUCUGCCUCGAGGGGGAGGUUGUUGGUGGACUGACACCUCCUUUUCGUUUUGAGGCUGUUCGUCGCGUUUCUCUGUGGCAGCUCCUCGUCGUCGAGAUGCCGAGCUUUCGGCUUGUUGAACUGCCGCCACCUGGAGCAAUGUCUGUACCUCAUCUCGAAUGUGUCGGGCCUGGGAAUUCGACGGCUCUGGCAUGUUACGCAGCAACAUCGUUGGUGCCACUACAUUCUGGCCUGCUCGAGGGAAACGGUUGACAGGUUGCUCUGGCUCCGCGUCGCCGACGAUCUGACGAUGUACCUCUCGAGUGCGUCUGCGGGCACUUCCGCCCGGCGGGUAGGGCAGGUCUUGCUCGAGGAUUUGCUCGAGCAGGACGAGGCGCUCGCGGUCUUUGUCGACCUUCAUCUUGAGCUCCCGCAGCUGCGCGAGCUGCGCGGUUCUGUCUUCCUGCGGAGGGGGGUCGACUUGUCCGUCGUUUCCAGGCGUCCUGGGGUCUUCUCGUGCCGCGGGGGCUCGACCGCCUGCAGCGGCAUCCUGUGUCUCAUCGAUAGUUUCUACCGCUCUGUCGAUGUGAUAGCAUUCCCUCGUAGGGUCGUAGCUAUCAGUCUCGGAGUCGGAGCCUGGUUCGGCGGCGUAGAAACGCCCACGCCCCUCCUCCAGCAAUCGCUGCCUGAGGGAGGUGAUUGUGUAACGUCCAGGGCCUAGACGACGGAGGCCUCGUACCCGGGAAAGGUCCGGCAGCUCGGGCGCCGGUUGCUGCGGUUCAGAGCUACGUGGGAGGACCGUUGGUCUUUCCAUGUACGUCUGGGCGUUUGGGCAUAUUUCUCUGGCGAGCGACGCCGCGGCGUUGUCCAAUCCGAGUGGCAGUGCCGCUCUUGGAGUGAACAACCCGUGUGGAAGUAGCCUAGCAGCGGUGGGGGAGAACGCGCGAGACGCGUCCCCUCCUGUCGUUGCGCGGUGCUGAGUCGUCGCGCUUGUUGCUCCGCCACACGGUGCUGCCGACUUGUGGCCCACUUCCUGCCUCGCACGAGUUCUUGGUCGUGAUGAGGCAGAGGGGCCGCGGUGGUGCUGUGCGCGCCUCUUCUUAGGCGGGGAGGUGUGGUGGUGAGGGCAUCUCGGGGCCUUCAACCGUGCUGGCGCAACGCGGGCUCCUCCUGGUCCUCUAACUGAGAGCAAGAUCAUGUCGUAGCCGGAGCCCGUAGACAUGAACUCGAGACUCCCAAACCAAAUCACCGUGGAGCGCGGAAACGGCGAGGCAAGAAUGGCCAUCUGGAAAGGAGUGGGAAAUCGAUGAAAAACACGCAGGACCCCUACCUGGCGCGCCAACUGUCGGUGUUUUCCCCCUGGGGGGUCACACCAACGAGUAAAUUUGUAUGCGUGCUCCCUUUCCCAGAUGGUGAUGCAAGAAGACACGGAGAUUUAUCCUAGUUCGGGCAAGAGAAGGCCCUACGUCCAGCGGGGGGGAGAGAGCUUGUAUUAUCUUGCACCUAAGUGCUUGUACAGGGGUGAAUACAAGUGCGGUAUGAAGUGUGGAGCUCUACUACGUGUGAGCGUGGUGCUCUCCGGGCGUUCUGUUCCUGAGUCCCUCCUUUUAUAGUCCCAAGGAGAGACCCAGGAUAUAUGUAUAGGCGUCAGAAUAGGAGUCGAUAGCAGCAUGGAGCGCUGACCUACUCGAGGCUUCCGUACCGGCGUGGCCUCGAGCCGUCCCGUCUUGGUAGCCUGGCGAUGAUUACGCGUGGUCUGUUAUCCUGCUCUGCACCCCGUCGUGGAUUGUUUUACCGGAUGUGCGCUCGUACGACCCGACGACAAAUCCGGCGGAGUGGUUGGGAUGUGGUCAGUCGACGCCCAACUCGUCCCUUGGAAGGAUCCCUGUCUGGUCGAGGUUCGGAUGCCGUACAUUGUGCUGAUAUCUGGAGCGCUGACUUCAGAUGUCUCGAGGGGGUCCCGACUAGACGUUCCAUCCUCGUUUCCCGCGUUCUGACACAUCUAGGGUCGUCUGGUGGGAAGACUGCAAAAAGAACGAUGGGACAGAUGCUUGUUCCCUUAUCACGUCUCCCAUGACCCAUGUGUUAGGUGGGGAAGCGUCAGGUGCAUUAAAUGCCCUGGCUCUCGUGCGCGCGUCAGGCGGCGGACAGUGUCCUUGCUCUCGAUGCCUCUUGAUUCGCUCGAGACCGCUUCCGUAUUCGACGGCAGUUGGCGCUCGAGCCCUGAUCGAUUCGCUCGACGCUACUUCCGUUUUUGAGGCCGCGGCCGUCGACGGUUGCGCGUAUGUAUGGACGGUGCGUCGAAUUGAAGAUCUAGUCUUAUGUACGGAUGGUCUUGUUAUAUGUAUUGUUGAGGGUACCCCUUGUUGAUACCCUCGACAUGAGUACUUCUAAUCUAUAGGACCCUAUAGGUUAGAGUUGUAGUAUAGGUGUAAGCGUGGUGCUUAGACCUAGAUUACUUGUGGAUAUCCCCUGACUAGCUGGAUCGUGUGGUAGGCCGCGUAGGUGACAGUUACGUUGGUCCCCUGUAGUCCACCUCUCGUUAGCAGGACGGGUAGGGUUUAUCGGCCUAUGGAUAAGAAUCCUUUGUGGUAUACUCUUAUCACGUGGUUCGUCCCAGACAUAGACAUACCCCUUUGAAGUAGAGAAACCAUAGUUAUCCUCUCUAUUCUGCUACCAUCGCCCAUAUACUAGAAUUGCUCUACUCUCUAUUCCCAUAUUAUCACUCACUGUUAUCUUACCUUCAAUAUUGUUCUUAUUCGAUUCUACCAUCUUUCCUAUUCACACCUAUUUAAUUAUCUUGGUUAAUUUAGAGCGUAGAUCAGUUCUCCCGUUUCCCUGUGGAUACGAUAAAACCUUUAACCGGGUAAAAGCUUCAACGGUAUCCGUGCGCUUGCGGAUUAUCUGUGUGCGUAUAAAUACCAUAGUACACUCUAGUGCCAUGCUGGGGAUGACAACCUAGUAUUCAAGUGGUGUUAGCAAGUGUCAACAAGGGCCUAACCAGAGAGCAGCGAGCAUGGUUGCCUUAUGAUGAUCAAGAUACCAUGUUCCCUUUGGUCUUCCAUCCAUUCAACGAUGCUCUUAACAAAGAUCAUGAAGUGAUGAUGGCAUUGAUCACUCCCAGAGUCAUACAAGUAAACUUUUUUGGCUGUGGGAAAACCUCCAACCAAACCUAUGAAUUCUACAACCCAUCGGCACUAGCCUGUCAAUUAGCUUUCGGCCAGCUGCCGAUUGCACUCUGUUAUGCCGAUGUAAUAAAACCCAGGGAAGCCAUCACUAACCUCCUCGAAUGGAUUCAAGUAGCCCAACUGCCAUCAAGUGCCGAUACAGAUGCAGAUUUAUUAGAGUGGGUUCCGGCCACCUUCAUCUCUCAGUCGUACAAACAAUGGUGGGCAGAAUGGAAGGAGGACUUGUUCUGUAAAUCGGCUCUUACGUACCGCGGCAUGAUCGAUCCCCAGUAUGAAGUUCCUGAUAACACUGUAAGUACCUUCGAACUGAUGUUUCAAUUCUCUCAAUUUUACUUCCAUCGGUAACUCACUUCUGUAUUAUCUUGCAGGUUGACAACACCCCUCCAUCGGUCAGCAGGAGUGGCAAGCCUAUUGACCUGUUCCCAUCGGGUCCGAUCUCUUAAAUCGGCAACAAUGCUCCUACCUUGGCUGCCAUAAUGCACCGAGGUGUACACCUUAAGAAAGUCACCACCAAGCGCACAAAGACAUCUCCAUCGGUGGCUGCUUCCACCUUAGCACAGGCCUUUAAGGUAACUGUUAAACCUUUUCAUUCAUACCGAUUUUACUUUUACAUUUGCUACAUCGGUACUCACAAAUUCUCCUUUCCGUAUCAGCAGUCCAACGCAUCGGCAAAGAUUAGAAGCAAAAGUGCCGAUGCCCCCCAGUCCAGUCAACCGAAGAGAAAGGGUGCCAAGAACACCAGAGCACAAGCAAAGCGCCAAAGAGUAGCAAUGCCUUCUCCUCCCCCGGUAUCUCCAAUUCCAGUGGAAUCUUCUCCUUCCUCCCCAGAAGUCCAAAGGCAACAACUACCAUCUCCCCCUCCGCUGCAAGAAGCACCACAAGUGGGAGAACCUCAGCCAGAAGAGCCUCAACUAGAAGUACCUCAGCCAGAAGACAUAUCGGCUGAUGUGAGUGAACAGACUACCGAUCCAGCAGGCUCAAUCAUAGCAUCGGUAGUUUCCUCAAUCCAGAAAAGCACUGCACCUCCUCAAGGUAAAAUCUUUACAAAGUCAUUGCCGAUAAUCCCACUUUUCUGUUCUCAUAAUUCCUUCUACCACUUUUCAGCUGACAUAGUUCCAUCGGCAACUCAGGCCGAUCAACCGUAAUGCCAUCAGCAUCUUCCAGUCAGAGGCGAGAGAUUGCCUUGAAGCAAGUAAGCCAACCAAUCUCCAUCAGUAUUAUUUGCCGAUGCUUGACCAUGGAAUGACUCACUUUAUUUUCUUUUUCAGGAACAGGACUCUCCCGACAGCCUGUUCUCCUUUGCCAUUGAUAUCUCCGAAGAUGAAGGUGAGGAAGCAAGCUCCUCCCGGGCAGUUGGGAUCACAUUGGCAGAGAUCAGGGCAAAGCUGGAAGAACUGUCGGCUCUCCACCAUCAAGACACUGCCCAAUUAGUUGAUGACUUUGAUCCGGCCAAGGCUUUAUUCAAGACCUUGAGAGGCCAAAUUCCUGCCGAUGCUGAAGAAAUCCUCUUCUAGGCUGCACAUCUGGAGAGCCGUCAGCUGCAGUACCAGAAAGCUGCCCAGCGCCUUGCCGACAGAGCGGCUCAUGCCCAACUCUCUGAGGAGAUGAUGAAGGUGAAGCUCCUUGCCGAUGAGAAGCACAAGAACAUCGGCAUCUUACAGUCCUCAGGAGAUGCGUUGAAGCAGAAAAUCUCCGAUCUAUCGGCGAGAAGAGAAACUUUGUUAGCAUAACUCAAACAAGUAGAGGAUGCCCUGUCCCAAGCCCGAUAGGAAGAAAGCCAACUGCCAGAGACAAUCAAGCUUCUUGAGCAAGAGCGAAAUGUCCAUGGUCGCAAGGCACUGCUGCUGAAGAAGAAGUUAAAGCCGGUAGAAGGUUCUGCCGAUGACGACGUGAAGGAGAUAGAGGAAGCCAACCAGAUUCGUCUGCGCGCCAUAUCGACGAUCCAAGCGCUGUUGAACACAUGAGCGCUUCAUUGGCAAUACAUCCUCGUCCCUUUGCUUUUCAGCUUUCCUGACAUUUAGUCUAGCCGAUAGGACUGUUAUCGGCAUCUCUUGAAACAUUAAGUCCGACCCCAGACACAUUUUGAUCCAGCCGAUAGGAGUGUUAUCGGCAUUUACACUUUUAUGCAUCGACCCAUAUACUUUGGUAGUACUUCUUCAGAUAUUUGCCAUUUAAUGCUCUGGGAAAUUCGACCCCUUCGAGGGUUUCUAAGAUAUAAGCGUUACCAGGAGCCGAUCGACCUAUUCGAUAGGGACCUUCCCAAUUGGGAGACCACUUCCCAAAUUUUGAACUCUUAGUCCCGAUUGGUAGGAUUAAUUUCCACACUAAGUCUCCAUCGGCAAACUCCUUAGCCUUUACUUUCUUAUCAUACCACCUGGCAACCCUCUUCUUAUUUUCUUCUAUACUCAUCAAGGCCUUCAGCCGAUGUCCUGCUAGAUCAUCCAACUCGUCUGUCAUCAAAGUAGCAUAAUCAUCGGCAGCCAAUUGAUCUUGAAAAGAUAUUCGCCGAGACUCAGCCUUAAUUUCCCAAGGUAGUACUGCAUCAUGCCCAUACACCAAUUGAUAAGGUGAAACUUUGGUCGAUCCAUGCCAAGCCAUCCGGUACGACCACAAGGCUUCAUUCAACAACGUAUGCCACCUCCUAGGAUUUUCCUCAAUCUUUCACUUGAUAAGCUUGAUAAUCCCUUUGUUAGAUGCCUUGGCCUGCCCAUUAGCUUGUGCAUAAUAAGGAGAAGAAUUUAAUACUUUAAUUCCCAUAUCGAUUGCAAAUUCAUCAAAUUCCCCUGACGUGAACAUAGUGCCCUGAUCUGUAGUAAUCGUGUGAGGAAUUCCAAAUCGGUAAAUGAUGUGCUCUUUCACAAAAUCAAUCAUAUUGGCCGAUGUGACUUUCUUCAAAGGAAUAGCUUCAACCCAUUUGGUGAAAUAAUCGGUGGCAACUAAAAUAAACUUAUGCCCUUUGCUAGACGGUGGAUAAAUCUGGCCGAUCAAAUCAAUAGCCCAUCCUCGAAACGGCCAAGGCUUUAUAAUAGGAUUCAUAGCCGAUGCAGGCGCCCUUUGAAAUACUUAAAACAAUCCUCAAGUAUGGUCAGCUAAUAAUAUCCAUUCCUCCUAAUCAUCCACUUCAUCUUAAAAGCCGACUGAUGUGAUCCACAUACCCCUUCAUGGAUUUCUCCCAUCAAACUCUUAGCUUCAUCAUCACCUAAGCAUCGGAGAAGAAUCCCAUCAAUAGUUCGAUAGUACAAUUCAUCUUCGAGGAGCACAUACUUGGUGGCUUGAAACCGAACCCGUCUUUCAACUUUCUUAGAUGGAUCCUUCAAAUAAUCAAUGAUUUCUUUUCUCCAAUUAUCGGCACCGAUUGCCGAUAUUGCAUUAAUCAUAGGCUGAUAUCCCGAGGCAUGCUGAGCCAACCGAUUGGCCUCUUCAUUAUGCAAUUGAGGAACAUGCUCUAAUCGGAAAUCUUUGAAUUCCUUUAAUAGUUGCAUACUCCUUUCGUAAUAACUUAUGAGAACUUCACUUCGGCAUUCAUAGCUUCCAGCCAAUUGAUUUAUAACUAGCAUAGAAUCCCCGAAGACCUCAACAGCAUCAGCAUGAACUUCUCUUAACAAUUCCAACCCCUUUAUCAAAGCUUGAUACUCAGCUCGAUUAUUUGUUGACGUGGCAACAAUCGGCAAAGAGAAUUCAUACUUCCUUCCCUGAGGGAAAAUUAACACGAUGCCGAUUCCUGCCCCUCGGUCACAUGUGGAUCCAUCAAAGAAGAGUGUCCGAGGUACAAUCUCCAAAGUCUCUGCUGUACCACAAUGUUUGGUCACAAAAUCGGCCAUAAUCUGUCCCUUAACCGCUUUAGCCGAUUCGUAACGCAGAUCGAAUUCCAACAGUGCCAAAAUCCACUUACCGAUCCUGCCGCUCAUGAUCGGCAUAGACAGCAUGUAUCGGACCACAUCAUCUUUGCAAAUAACCGUGCAUUCGGCCGAUAGCAAAUAAUGCCUUAACUUAACACAAGAGAAGUACAAGCAUAAGCAUAAUUUCUCAAUAGCCGAAUACCUGGUCUCAGCAUCGAUUAGCCUCCUGCUUAAAUAGUAAAUCACACGUUCUUUCCCUUCAAAUUCUUGAAUUAAAGCCGAACUGAUGACUGUUGGGUAUUUUAAACGCAAACAGAAAAAAUCCGCAAGCGCACGGAUACCGAUGUAGCUUUCACCCGGGAGUAUUCCAGAGUAUCGAUUUUCCACAGAGAACGUGAGUGUACUAAUUAAGAUCCAAGAUCGCCCAGGGAUAACUAUAUAAUUGUUUUUGGUGCGAAGAGAGGAAGUUUCCUGAGAGUUCUCUAGUUGAUCUAAGAAUCAAGAAUUACUUCAAGAUUAUCUAUAUCGGGACAUCAGAGCACUAACCACAGAAAGAGAUGAGAAGGGGGCUAGGAAGGUCUGACUACGGUCCUACAAACACCGAUCCGAACGUGGUGGAAUACGUCGACCGUUAGGGGUGUCACUACCCUAGGGCUACCACAACAAUCCGUAGGAUUGGGUGCAAUUCCAGGUAAUCGCAAGACUAAACACCACGUCUAAUCUAUUAAUUACUACUCUAGCGUUAUAAAGACUAGAGCACUUGAUGGAAGCGGGAAUCCAAUAAAUAACUUGAAUGUAAAUAAAAGUAUUAGAGAACUCAGGAGUUAUGAAUUGAAGAACCUGGAGAACGAUGAAGAACGAACCAGUUGCUGCAAAAGUACAAUGUUGAGGAAGAUCCGACAGAUCCGGCUCCUCCUCCGCUCUCCUCUUCUCUCUCCCUAUUUUCUAGAUUACAACUAGAACUAUCUAGAACUAGAACUAGAGGAACUAGAACUUGAACUAGAUGAACAAGAACUAGAUCUAGAUGAACUAGAGGUAGAACUAGAAGAACUAGAGGGAUCCUCUCUACUUGGAUGAAGAAUUGAAACCCUAACUUUGAUUCUGUAGAAGAGGUAUGACUCCAGGGCUGGUGGGGGUCUGCUUAUAUAGUCCAGGAAGAGUAGCCCCCAAGAAAUCUAGGAAGAGUAGCCCCCAAGAAAUCUAGGAAGAGUAGCUCCCAAGGAAUUUCCACGUUAUUCUCCACCAUCCGAUCAAGCUGACCUUAAUCGUGUGAUUUUCCUCGAUCCUUAGAGUCGGUGGAGCACGAUCCGCGAAGUUGAAGCUGAUUGGUUACUGUAGCUGGGCGGGCACCCAAAGGACUUGGGCGGGCGCCCUGCCCCCGGGCCCGAUCGGCCUCCCGUUCGUUCCCGUGGCUUCUAGAGUCUUCUAGAUGGUAGAAAAUUGCGCGGCACGUUAAUAUCUCUAUGUAAACCCGACGUGUGGGCCUUUCUUCCUUAUUUCCUGAUAACCCCCUGCAGAAAUAGACAAACACCAAAACUCGUGGAAUUUUGUCAGAUAAAACCCUAAGUCUAGGUGUUGGUUCCAUUUAGAUCCUUUGCCAUGAUUAGUUGAUGGUUAAAUGUGAGCAUUAAGGACCGUCAACAAGCUCCCCCAAGCUUAACCUUUGCUCGUCCCUGAGCAAAGAUGGACUCAAGAGUUUCUGCAGUGGUUUCAUAACUUAAAGAUACACAUGCGUUCAAACAAGAUCUCAUCUCUAGGUUAGGGUAAACUGUUAAGAUUUAAACUUACUCAUUUUACCUUUCACCAUGGGGCUUGCAACCGUCACUUCUGUCUUGAGUAGUUAAAAGAUAGAACGGUCUAGUCAAGCGCCAUGUCUCAUGUUCUUGAUUAACUAUAGCUCUGGAGUUUUUGCAGAUUUUCAAAUAAAACUCAGAGAUUCCUUGUAUGACUCUCUCUAGUCUCUCUUUUGUGGUAUUUCUGGAUCCUUACCAAGGCAGUAAUGGUAUAUGCCUUCUCUCAAAGUAUGUGGUAUUUUUGGUAUGAGGCAUAGUGACAUUGCCUUCUCUCUCACCCUACUCUAAUAAGGCUUUGAUAUCUGGAGCUCAUAGGUGGGAGACAGCUAAUACAUACUUACAAGACAUUUAUUGCAUAGUCAAACCAUGGAUCCAGAACAACAAGUCAAUAAGUCAAAUCAAGAUGUGCAUGUGUGGCGAAUGAAUGGUGUAUGGUGAUGAUGGUGAUAAUGGUGAAAGUCUAAUUCUACUUAUGCUCUUUUGAGGGGAUACAUACCUUUCUUGCUCUUUUGAAACUUUUUGAGGAGAAUGAGAUACUCUAUAUUUUUUUUUCUUUUCUCUCAGGUGGGUAUCUUGUACCCCUAAUUCUACUGUAGGACACUUGUCCAUUUUUACCUCUCGGCUCACUUUUUAUUUUCUUUUGAGGUUCCGGGCACUUGCCCCUUUUUAUUUCCUCGUAUUUUUUCUUUUUUUUUCUUUCUUUUUUUAGAGCACUCAUCUCAUGAGAUAAUAUAGCAAGUGGUAGUAACAAGAUAACUUGAGCAUUUAUUUCACAGGGGAAAACACAAAUGUUUUUGGCUAUUCUCUCCCACAUUAGGAGUAGAAUAUUUUUGGGUGGUUCUGGAGAUGGAAAUGGAUGGAUAUAUGUGGAUGCGUACUUCCGAAGUAGAAGUAGCAUGUAUGAGUGAACGUGGAAGUGAAUCUUGAUUUAACCACAUGACAAGCUCCUAAGGGUCUACACAGCUUGACCACACUCAAUGCUCAUAAGCAGUAAAAAGUAAAUGUGUGGCUCAAAGUCUAGCAAGCAUAUAUAAAUGGCUGUGGUAGGAAUUUAAACUCUCAACAUAUAGGAACUCAUCAUGUAACAUUUUAAAGAUUUUCAAAGAUAAAAUUCUCCAGAAUUCUAGCAUCUCUAGGAACAGAUAAACAGCAGCUCAACCUUCCCAUAUCAUAUCCGUUAACGACUUAGACUUCAGAUCAAGUACUCUCCCCACAAGUUCAGGUUUAGAGCAAAUCUUAAUUCAUAACAGUCAAGCCUAAACUUGAGAGAGAUUUCAAUUUUGAGAACUUGUCAUGGCAGAGCAACUAUUCAUCAUUUCCAUGUGAGAGCUUAUCAUGAGGGUUCAUAGCAAACUUUACUUAUUUAUUUAUUUAGCAAACUAAGCAAAGAUAUAUAUAUAUAUAUAAGCAUAUUAGAGUAAAGUAUAAACGUGCGUAGAAUACUUAGCUGGAUAAAUGGAGGCGCUCUCCCCCAAGCUCGAUUUUGACGCAAUUUCUUUUGAUGUAGUAGGUGGUGGAGGUGUAUUUGAAUGUCAGCAGCACCCUGGCAGCGAUUAGGAUGUCCUCCGUCUGCUAGUCUUCUUUGAUCCUUGAAUUCUGUGGAGCUCAAAUAGACAACAAAGCUUUGUGGAACUAGGUAAGUGUUAGCAUAAAUAUCUAGCCUUUAUCAUGUUGAGCCUCCUCAAUAAAUGUUACACUCUUUAGUAGGAUCAUAAAUUUAUUUUUAUAAUUUCAUUUUUAUAGGACAGGAAUAUAUUUAUUUUAUUUUUAUGCCACCACAGUGAAUGUACUUAUGGGUUUUAUGCCAUGAGCAUACUCACAUGGGGCUUACUAUUUUUAACAUUUUUAUUUUCUUUUCAAGAUGAUAUGAACAUGAUUAACUAAGCAAACUAUUUUAAAUAAUUGAAAGGAAAAAGAUAACUACCAAGUUUACCUCUUGGCAAGGCGUUCGGUGUUUUUAAGUCCUCCGAACGGGACUCUCUGUUUUCUUAGUCGUCCUAGGAUUCGCUGGAUGGCGUAGUCGGUGGUUCCGGCGGCGUCUGCUCUUCGUGUAUAACUAUCUUCUCUCUCCACACCUGACUCGGUGCUACGGUCUCCUCACGACAGUUCUGUUCAAGCUGUAUGUCUUCAGACCUUACUACUUCUUCUUCGUAGUCUGCUCAUCUGUCCUUGAUGAUUUGCCUCCUCUGGUUGCGGUUACGUCGUCUUCUUCUUGUCCUGACCUGCUUAGAAUCUUCAACUAUAUAGUUAGGGUCAGUAAAAUAGAGGCGUACCUUCUCAGAGGGGAAGUGCAUGUGGACUUCUCCGGUUCCAAUGUAGAUGAUUGCUUUAACGGUGCUGAGGAACCGUCUCCCAAGGAUGAUGGGUGGAUCGUACUCGUCUUCUCCCAAGUCAAUAACCUUCAACCCUUCAGAAUGUCUUAUCUGCCAUCUGGAGCUGGGUAUAUGUCGGGUUUAAGGGCAUAGUUCCGAACAGGAGCUGAUAGGUGACUGGGUCAUCCUUUUUGGUCAGGAACGGUGACUUAAGUCGACGGUCUUGACCUCCUUGAACUGCAGUGACCAUCUUAGCUGACUCGGUACACAUUUGCUUGUUCCUGUCCCUCCUGUUGGUCCUCUUCCUUGGUUCAUGUCGGGAUUGCUCUGAGAUUUGUGAAAUCUUGUUCUCAAAGGAAAACGUCUCCUUCUUCCCCUUGAUGUAGAAACUGAUCUUGGUAGCAUUAGCGUAGAUGACAGCUCCCGAGGUGUUCAGGAAUGGCCUCCAUAGAAUGAUGGGUGCCCUCUCAUUAGUACCAGUCUCUAUCACCACGAAGUCUGCUGGGGCGUAUAAGGUACCAACUCGGAUGCAGAAGUUCUUCAAUAUUCCCUUUGGGAAACUUAGUGUCUGAUCUGCAAGCUGCAAACACAUGGUUGUUUCUAGGAAAGGAUGUGUAAAGAAUUUUUCAUAGAGUACCCUGAGCAUAAUGUUGACGCUGGAGCCGAAGUCGCAGAGUGCUUCUAGGAAGUCCACCAUGCCGAUGGAGAUCGGGAUGACGGGGCGUCCUGGAUUGUCUCUCUUGACCGGUAGAAGGUCAGUAAUUACUUCCACAACGGGGUUACUCCAGUAGUUACGUCUUCAAGCAUCUCAGGGCAGUGAUUGCCUGAGUGUCCAGUAUCUCCAGUGUGUUUGUGCUCGUAGAUCUAGGUUCUUCACUUGGUGGAGUCUGGGAGUUGUAAAAGUCCUUCAUAUUUUGCUCGAAGUGUACCUGCUCAUUGAGACAAGGCAGAGAUCAAGUGCAUGGGCCCUGUUGGUGGAAAACACCAACAGAACCAAAACUGUAUUUUUUCUUCUCUAACCUUAAGCAUAGUGAGCAAGACAAAGUUGAUGGAUAAUAAGAUCAUGAGUGU